GUUUUACAUAAUACUCUUGUAUUGAUAAGGAAUAAUAUCGUAAUGCUAUUAUUAUGAUAAUGGGAAUCGCAGAUUAUAUAUUUUUUUGAUUCAGAUAAAGCGAAUAUGAUAUAGACUAGGAUCAUAGUCAUGGUAAAGACAGUUGCAAACCAAACUGUUGUUCAUAGACGAUCGUGUAUGAGUCGUGUCGUCUUGAGUCUAGACUAAGCGAACCUGUCCAAGUACCUCCCGGAGUGCAUUCAGCUCAUUCGUCGAGCGACAUUGCAAAUAAUAAAAACGAAACCAGGAUAUCCACCGGUCGUUAUAGCGAAGUUUAUGACAUUUAAUAUAAUGCACUGAGCAUUUUUAACCUAAGAAUAGGACUGCACACAACACGGGGAAUCAAGGCUAAGGAAACGAAACGUCAUAUUUUUAACAUAAAUUCCUAUUUUUGAUAAGAAGCGAUCAAAUAUUUGUACACAAAGAAUCUACAUACAUAAAACACAUUAUAUAUAUACUGAGUAACUAUUACUAAGUAAGCAUUACUAUUACCUGAGUAAUACACAAUACAUAAGAUAUUGUUCUCCAUCUCUAUUAUUAUUUUUAAAAGACUACUUUUCGUAUGGAAACGAACUUGUUUUAAGUAAUAUAGCGUUUAUAUUUACUAAUAGUUCUGUACCAUGUGGUAGUCAAAUCAAUGACAUACAUACUGCGUAUUGUUAUUUAUAUUUUAUGAAACGACAUGAUAAUAUUUGAACAUUAUUUAUUUAUUAUUUUUUAAUUAAUUAAUUCUGUGUGCUAAGUAGUAAGUUAUUUAAAUAUACUUAUGUGAAGUCA